rnacentral:tRNA from 1 species
GCGAAGGUGGCGGAAUUGGUCGACGCGCUAGCUUCAGGUGUUAGUGUCCUUCGGACGGGGGGGUUCAAGGCCCCCCCCUCGCACCA